rnacentral:rRNA from 1 species
UAGGGAAUCUUCCACAAUGGACGCAAGUCUGAUGGAGCAACGCCGCGUGAGUGAAGAAGGUCUUCGGAUCGUAAAACUCUGUUGUUAGAGAAGAACACGAGUGGAGUAACUGUUCAUUCGAUGACGGUAUCUAACCAGCAAGUCACGGCUAACUACGUGCCAA